rnacentral:lncRNA from 1 species
CACGGAUCGGGUCUCUAAAUGGGCCGGUCCAUGGCGGAGCACUACAGGCGUCGGUUAGCAAAAUUUGCAUUUAAAUCGGAUCUCUAAAUAGUGAAUUCCGGAGAUAUCGGCGUCCAAAAACAAAACUUCCAGUAGACCUAGUUGAUCCGCCUGUGAGAUGGUUGAAUUAUCGGAGGUCCGAAUUGAAUUCUGAUAGACUACUUCAA